UCCAUGGUCCUUAGAUCCACUCUCGGGUUAACUGGCCCUGUUCACAGAAUUAGGUUGACGUCCUACUUACCACCAAUUUGACCGGUUGCAUGUCGAAAGUGCUUGAGUCAUAAACAUGGCAGAGAAAUAUACCUCACUCAGUGAAUCCUGGUUAAAUCCUUGUUCGUGAUUUAGCUCUUGCAUGGCCUUGGGCAAUAAUUGUGGGAAUUU